rnacentral:rRNA from 1 species
CUUGAGUACAGUAGAGGUGGGCGGAAUUCGUGGUGUAGCGGUGAAAUGCUUAGAUAUCACGAAGAACUCCGAUUGCGAAGGCAGCUCACUGGACUGCAACUGACACUGAUGCUCGAAAGUGUGGGUAUCAAACAGGAUUAGAUACCCUGGUAGUCCACACAGUAAACGAUGAAUACUCGCUGUUUGCGAUAUACAGUAAGCGGCCAAGCGAAAGCAUUAAGUAUUCCACCUGGGGAGUACGCCGGCAACGGUGAAACUCAAAGGAAUUGACGGGGGCCCGCACAAGCGGAGGAACAUGUGGUUUAAUUCGAUGAUACGCGAGGAACCUUACCCGGGCUUAAAUUGCAGUGGAAUGAUGUGGAAACAUGUCAGUGAGCAAUCACCGCUGUGAAGGUGCUGCAUGGUUGUCGUCAGCUCGUGCCGUGAGGUGUCGGCUUAAGUGCCAUAACGAGCGCAACCCUUAUCUUCAGUUACUAACAGGUCAUGCUGAGGACUCUGGAGAGACUGCCGUCGUAAGAUGUGAGGAAGGUGGGGAUGACGUCAAAUCAGCACGGCCCUUACGUCCGGGGCUACACACGUGUUACAAUGGGGGGUACAGAAGGCAGCUAGCGGGUGACCGUAUGCUAAUCCCAAAAUCCUCUCUCAGUUCGGAUCGAAGUCUGCAACCCGACUUCGUGAAGCUGGAUUCGCUAGUAAUCGCGCAUCAGCCACGGCGCGGUGAAUACGUUCCCGGGCCUUGUACACACCGCCCGUCAAGCCAUGGGAGCCGNNNNUACCUGAAGUACGUAACCGCAAGGAUCGUCCUAGGGUAAAACUGGUGACUGGGGAUAAGUCGUAACAAGGUAACCA